rnacentral:rRNA from 1 species
AGUGAACGCUGGCGGCAGGCCUAACACAUGCAAGUCGAACGGCAGCACAGUAAGAGCUCGCGCGUACGGGUGCCGAGGGGCGGGCGGGGCAGGAAUACGUGGGAAUCUACGUGUUCGAGGGGGGUAACGGAGGGAAUCUUACGCCAAUACCGCAUACGGCGUAAGGGGGGAAGCAAAAGAUCUUGCGACCUUGCACCGGUCGAUGAGCCGAUGUCGGAUUAGCUAGUUGGCGGGGUAAAGGCGCACCAAGGCGACGAUCCGUAGCUGGUCUGAGAGGCCGAUCAGCCACACUGGGACUGAGACACGGUCCAGACUCCUACGGGAGGCAGCAGUGGGGAAUAUUGGACAAUGGGCGCAAGCCUGAUCCAGCCAUGCCGCGUGGGUGAAGAAGGCCUUCGGGUUGUAAAGCGCUUUUGUUGGGAAAGAAAAGCAGCAGGUUAAUACCCCGGUGGUAUGACGGUACCCAAAGAAUAAGCACCGGCUAACUUCGUG